GACGAACGCUGGCGGAGUGCUUAACACAUGCAAGUCGAGCGGAGCGGAGAACGGGUGAGUAACGCGUGAGUAACUGCCCACCUCGCUGGGAAAACAGUUGGAAACGGCUGCUAAUACCGGCUAGUGGGGGAUGACUCGCGGCCUAUCAGCUUGUUGGUGGGGUAGUGGCCUACAAAGGCGACGACGGGUAGCAGGCCUGAGAGGGCGACCGGCCACAUUGGGCUGGGAUACGGCCCAAACGCCUACGGGAGGCAGCAGUGGGGAAUAUUGCACAAUGGGGGAAACCCUGAUGCAUCACCGCCGCGUGCGGGAUGCCGGCCUUCGUGUUGUAAACCGCUUUCAGCCAUGACGCGGUAGUGGCAGAAGAAGCACCGGCUAACUACGUGCCAGCAGCCGCGGUAAUAC
rnacentral:rRNA from 1 species